rnacentral:rRNA from 1 species
AUUGAACGCUGGCGGAGUGCUUUACACAUGCAAGUCGAGCGGCAGCGCGGGGGCAACCCUGGCGGCGAGCGGCGAACGGGUGAGUAAUACAUCGGAACGUGUCCUUAAGUGGGGGAUAGCUCGGCGAAAGCCGGAUUAAUACCGCAUAAGCUCUGAGGAGGAAAGCGGGGGCUCCGUAAGGACCUCGCGCUGUUGGAGCGGCCGAUGUCGGAUUAGCUAGUUGGUGGGGUAAAGGCCCACCAAGGCGACGAUCCGUAGCUGGUCUGAGAGGAUGAUCAGCCACACUGGAACUGAGACACGGUCCAGACUCCUACGGGAGGCAGCAGUGGGGAAUUUUGGACAAUGGGGGCAACCCUGAUCCAGCCAUUCCGCGUGAGUGAAGAAGGCCU